AAGACGUGGUGCAUAACAAGAAGUCUCAAGUUUGAACAAUAGUGCACUUAACAAUAUCUGCCAGGCUAUUAGACGCUCCACUUCAUCCUUUUUGUAGACAAUAAGAAUUUUCAAUUCAUAGAAAUGCCACAGCUGGGAUUGGCAGUCCAAACUUCAGAGAAAAUUACGGUUGCAGUCCCUUUUGAGCGUGUUAGAUUUUGAUUUCCAGCGUGCAACAUUUUAACUGGAUUUUAACUCCAACAAUAUGCAGCCAUGUAGGCUCUUUAAGAAUGCCAGCUUAUUUGAUUCCUUGCUUGGGCAUUCGUACUCCGUUCUGCCCUGAGCGGGGCAUGUUACACAUACCUACUUGUUCUGCAAUAACCAAUGAAGUUGUAUUAUUGAGUGAGUUUAGAAUCAUGGAUGCAGACAGUUUACAGUUGGUUUCUCUGUGCAUUAUUAUUUGAGUUCGAAGCCACGGAUGCAGACUUUUUUUAGUUGGUUCUCAAUUGGGUCUGAAUAAGUUAGGCUCUGUUCUGCAUCAUCAAUUAAUGAAGUUGCUCUGCAACAAUUAAUUAUGCUGGUACCUUGGUGAAGGAACUAGUAUUGGCAUUAUGCUGGAACAUUGCAGAAAACAACUUCUUUACAUAGAAAACGUUGAAAAAAUAAAAUGUGCGAAAAUCUUGAACGGGUUUGGGUAUGUUUUCAGCAUCUCUGUAUUGCACUAGUAAUUCAUCAAUGAUUCUUAAGUUCUACCUGUGAGCACCAAAUGUUUGGGAACUCUUUUGCAAUUUGGUUAAUCAGCAUUUGUAUUGUACCACUUCCUGGUUGCCGUAUCAAAUAUUAUACCAUUGCACUAUUUAGUUACUUUUCAAAGUUGUGAUAAAUAUAGUUCUUUUUUACUUUCAAGAUAGCAUCAAAUUCAUGUCUUCCAUUUUUCUCAUCUACGCUGCGUGUAUAUAUAGAAGCACCGUUUUAGUUGCUCUGUAGGUUAUGAGUAGAACUCAACUAGCCAAUUAACAAGUGAACUCACUAUGCAUUUGCUGAAUCCAUAUUUUGAAAGUUCACUGACCCUGCUACUAUAACAAACUGCUGGUGGUGGCUCUUUCCCAGGUAGCUCAAGGUGAAGAAGGCCAUCGAGAAGGGCAACACCGACGGCGCCCAGAUCCAUGCCGAGAAUGCCAUCCACAAGCGUACCGAGCACAUGAACUACCUCCGUCUCGCCUCCCUCUUAUACUCGAAGGAGGCUAUAUGCAAGGCACCAAGGUGCAUGGUGCUCGCAAGCGACGAACGGAGGCUGUUCGACAUCGGCUACACAAACCACCAUUGAGCUCCAAGUCUAUGAAAUUUGAAGUUCGAAGCCGUAUAGCCCUACUCAGCAAAGAGUUGUCUCUAUGUUUGACUGUAAUAGACUGCAAAUAUUGUAAUAUUGUAACAGUAGGCAUAUUGGGGUUGUAAUAGACUAUCUACAGAUUGUAGUAGACUUGGUGUUACUUGAUGAACUACAUUUGUACUGUUCCGUCUGAAAUAUUGAUUAUGUAUGAUCAAUCUAACGAGUGAGAACAAUUUAAGAUGCACCUUUGUAAUAUUGUAACAGAUUGUAAAAGACUAGUGUAUGCUUGAAAUAGUGAUUAUGUAUGUUGAAAAGAUGUG